GGUUAAGCGAAUAAGCGUACACGGUGGAUGCCUAGGUAAUCAGAGGCGAUGAAGGACGUGCUAAUCUGCGAAAAGCGUCGGUAAGGUGAUAUGAACCGUUAUACCCGA
rnacentral:rRNA from 1 species